ACUGGCCAGCGUGUUCAUGAUAUGUACACGAAUCAAUGGGUAACAUGUUUUCAUAAAUAUGACUUACUCUACUCGAGGUUCCAGAGCCGUUAAGGCUAUUCCAGUUUCCGGAAAUCCCACACGAGUGUCGGUGUCAAAAUUCUAUGCCAAACUGAUUACACUCUAGGUCGAGGAUGGGGUAAUGAAUAAAUGAAUUGAUCAUUGAAAUCUAUGCUCGAGAGCAUAUUAAGAAUCAAGCUCACAUGCUGGGUAUGCAUACGGGUGCAUAUCUACCCUUCUUAGCUGUCGGUGUGGGUGGGUAUACAUGCACUGAAGAUAUGUCUGAUGUAUAAAAAAAAAUUAAAAAAAAAUUAAAAAAAUUAACAGAGUACCAACCC
rnacentral:sRNA from 2 species